rnacentral:RNase_P_RNA from 1 species
UAGUACAGAUGAUCGCGGCUGCAUUCGUGCAGGUGAGGAAAGUCCGGGCUUCACAGGGCAGGAUGCCGGAUAACAUCCGGUGGAGGCGACUCCAAGGCCAGUGCAACAGAAAUAUACCGCCAUGGCGAAAGUUAUGGUAAGGGUGGAAAGGCAGUGUAAGAGACUACCGCAUUGCUGGUAACAGCAGUGGCACAUGUAAACCCCAUUCGAAGCAAGACCAAAUAAAAGCGAUAUAAAGGCUGCCCGCCGAGCUUAGGUAGGUCGCUUGAGCCUGCUGGCAACAGCAGGACUAGAUAGAUGAUCAUCACAGCUUAUGCUGACAUAACCCGGCUUAUAGUGCUGCUCAU